UGAGCAAUCUGCCCUUCUCAUCGGAAUAAGCGUUGGAAACGACGUCUAAUGCCGAAUACGACCUCCUUUCGCAUGAUCGGAGGUGGAAAGCUCCGGCGGAGAAGGAUGAGCUCGCGGCCUAUCAGCUAGUUGGUGUGGGUAAUGGCCCACCAAGGCGACGACGGGUAGCCGGCCUGAGAGGUGACCCGGCCACACGUGGGACUGAGACACGGCCCAGACCUCCGUACGGGGAGCA
rnacentral:rRNA from 1 species